rnacentral:snRNA from 1 species
GGAUGUGAGGGUGAUCUGGCUGUGACAUCUGUCACCCCGUUGAUCACCAGGGUUGGUUAGGCUGGCUAGGCGGGUGACCCCUUCCUCCCUCACUACUCCAUGUGCUUCGCUCCUCGAGCUGCAUGCUCGGUCGAAGAGGAUGAUCAUCCCUAAUAGAGGGUGACCGAUCUUCCGUCAAGGGCAUAUGAGUAGCUGUGCUCCUCUGCUAGAAUCUGCAAACAAGCUUUCAAGAACAAUAACUGUUAAUACGUAUAGAUACGUACCCUUCUCAGUUAAUGUGGUGUCCUU